UCGGGUGUGGUGUAACGGUUAACAUUGCUGUCUUUCAAGUGAGUUGCGAAUUCAAAUUCGCAGUCCACAGCGGCCCCGGGUUCGACUCCCGGCAUCCGAA
rnacentral:tRNA from 1 species